rnacentral:rRNA from 1 species
UUUCCGGUUGAUCCUGCCGGAGGCCACUGCUAUUGGGAUCCGACUAAGCCAUGCGAGUCGAGAGGGUUCGGCCCUCGGCAGACUGCUCAGUAACACGUGGAUAACCUAACCUUAGGUGGAAGAUAACCUCGGGAAACUGAGAAUAAUAUUCCAUAGAUCUAGGAUGCUGGAAUGCAUCUAGAUUGAAAGUUCCGACGCCUAAGGAUGGGUCUGCGGACUAUCAGGUUGUAGUCAGGGUAAAGACCUGACUAGCCUACGACGGAUACGGGUUGUGAGAGCAAUAGCCCGGAGACGAUAUCUGAGACACGAUAUCGGGCCCUACGGGGCGCAGCAGGCGCGAAAUCUUCACAAUGUGCGAAAGCACGAUGAGGGGAUCCCAAGUGCUGGCACGUAAGUGUCAGCUGUUUCUUAGUCUAAAAAACUGAGAGAGUAAGGGCUGGGUAAGACGGGUGCCAGCCGCCGCGGUAAUACCUGCAGCUCAAGUGGUGGCCGCUAUUAUUGGGCCUAAAACGUCCGUAGCCUGUUUAGUAAAUGCUUGGGUAAAUUGUGUAGCUUAACUAUACGAAUACCGAGUAGACUGCUAAACUUGGGACCGGGAGAGGCUAGAGGUACUCCUGGGGUAGAGGUGAAAUUCUGUAAUCCUAGGGGGACCACCAGUGGCGAAGGCGUCUAGCUAGAACGGGUCUGACGGUGAGGGACGAAGCCCUGGGGCGCAAACCGGAUUAGAUACCCGGGUAGUCCAGGGUGUAAACGCUGCUUGCUUGAUGUUAGUUGGGCUCCGAGCCCAACUAGUGUCGGAGAGAAGUUGUUAAGCAAGCUGCCUGGGAAGUACGGUCGCAAGACUGAAACUUAAAGGAAUGGCGGGGGAGCACAGGAAGCGGAAUGGC